CCUACGGGAGGCAGCAGUGGGGAAUUUUGGACAAUGGGCGCAAGCCUGAUCCAGCAAUGCCGCGUGAGUGAAGAAGGCCUUCGGGUUGUAAAGCUCUUUUGUCAGGGAAGAAACGGUUGAGGCUAAUAUCCUCGGCUAAUGACGGUACCUGAAGAAUAAGCACCGGCUAACUACGUGCCAGCAGCCGCGGUAAUACGUAGGGUGCAAGCGUUAAUCGGAAUUACUGGGCGUAAAGCGUGCGCAGGCGGUUUUGUAAGUCUGUCGUGAAAGCCCCGGGCUUAACCUGGGAAUUGCGAUGGAGACUGCAAGGCUUGAAUCUGGCAGAGGGGGGUAGAAUUCCACGUGUAGCAGUGAAAUGCGUAGAGAUGUGGAGGAACACCGAUGGCGAAGGCAGCCCCCUGGGUCAAGAUUGACGCUCAUGCACGAAAGCGUGGGGAGCAAACAGGAUUAGAUACCCUGGUAGUCCACGCCCUAAACGAUGUCUACUAGUUGUCGGGUCUUAAUUGACUUGGUAACGCAGCUAACGCGUGAAGUAGACCGCCUGGGGAGUACGGUCGCAAGAUUAAAACUCAAAGGAAUUGACGG
rnacentral:rRNA from 1 species